UGGCAGGCAUAUGGAGAUUCCCCAGGCGAGGGGUCGAAUCAGAGCUGUAGCUGCCGGCCUACACCCCACAGCCACAGCCAUAGUCACACAGGAUCUGAGCCACCUCUGCAACCUACACAGCAGCUCAUGGCAAUGCCCAAUCCUUAACCCACUGAGUGAGGCCAGGGAUCGAACCCACAUCCUCAUGGAUACUAGUCAGAUUCAUUAACUGCUGAGCCAUGACAGGAACUCCUCUUUGUUUUUUGUUUUUUGUUUUCUUUUUAUAGCCACACCUGCAGCAUAUGGAAGUUUCCAAGCUACGUGUUGAAUCGGAGGGAGCUGCAGCUGAGGCCUAUACCACAUCUUUGACCUAUGAUGCAGCUUGCAGCAAUAUGAGAUCCUUAACUCACUGAGCAAGGCCAGGGAUCAAACCUGCAUACUCGUGGACACUAUGUCAGGUUCUUAACCCACUGAGCCACAUCGGGAACUCCACAUUUCUUGAUUUUUAUGAGUAUACUAUGGUUAUGUAGAAGUGCUUCUUUAUUUUUAGAACAUGGGCACUGAAGUAUUUAGGAAUAACGGAGGCUGUGUUGUCUACAAAUAACCCUUAAAUGUUUCAGCCAAGAAACCCUUUAGAAAACUGCAUUGUGGGUUGAAUUGUGUCCUCCAAAAGAGAUAUGCGGAAGACCUAAAACUACACCAGUGACCGUGACAUUAUUUGGAAAUGGGGCCUUUGCAGAUGUAAUUGGGUUAAGUUGAGGUCAUAUUGGGUUAUGGAGGACCUUGGCUAUAAUGACCAGUGACCUUAUAGGGAGAAGGAGACAUGGGGACACAGGGACACACAAGGUAGAAGACCACCUGAUGGCAGAGGCAGAGACUGGAGUGAGGCAGCUAUAAGCCAAGUGACGCCAAGGAUUCUCAACAAACACCACAAGCUAGAUGACAAGCAUGGAACAGAGUCUCGCUCUGAAUCCCCAGAGGGAACCCACUCUGCCGUUCUGUUAUUGGCAGCCCUAGGAAACUAGUACCAACCUGUUGUUUGCUUGCUAUUAACACCAGCAUCUCAUAUGUAUGGUUUGCUAGACCUGAAUAUUAUUAUUAUUAUUAUUAUUAUUAUUAUUUGCUUUUUACUGCCACACCUGCAGCGUAUGGAGGUUGCCAGGCUAGGGGUCCAAUUGGAGCUACAGCUGCGGGCCUACACCACAGCUCACAGCAAUGCCAGAUCCAAGCCAAAUUUUCAAUCUAUACCGCAGCGCACAGCAAUGCCAGAUCUUUAAUACACUAAGCGAGGCCAGGGCUUGAGCCCACAAUCUCAUGGUUCCUAUUGGAUUCAUUUCCUCUGCACCAUGACGGGAACUCUUAGACUUAAAUAUUCUAAAAGAGCAACCAAAUAGGUGAAAAUGCAUUGCAAUGUACAUAUAAGAAAAAUGUGUCAUUUUUCUGCGUACAUCUCUUUUCAAUCCUCCUGUAGAGCACAUUUACAUGACCUGUGAGUUACCAUCUCACUGUUAAAAUACUAUGUGAAGGAGUUCCUGUUGUGGAGCAGCAGAAACGAAUCCGACUAGGAACCUUGAGGUUGUGGGUUCGAUCCCUGGCCUUGAGCAGUGGAUUAAGGAUCUGGCGUUGCCAUGAGCUGUGGUGUAGGUUGCAGAUCUGGAGCUGCUGUGGCUGUGGUGUAGGCCGGCAGCUACAGCUCCGAUUAAACCCCUAGCCUGGGAACCUCCAUAUGCUGUGGGUGCAGCCCUUUAAAAAAAAAAAAAAUUACUAUGUGAAAAUUCAGAUUAUCUGGUAUGCUAUUUUUAACUUAAAUAAUAACUAUACAAAAACACUUUCUGAGGAGUUCCCUGGUGCCUCAGUGGGUUAAGGAUCUGGCAUUACUGCCAUGGCUCAGGUCGCUACUAUGGCGUGGGUUCAAUCCCUGGCUUGGGAACUUCUACAAGCCUCAGGCUUAGCCAGAAACAAACCAAAAAACCGAAAAACCAAAAAAAAACCUCUUUUUCCCUAAUAUGGAAGUUCCUGAGCUAGAGGUCAAAUAAGAGCUGUAGCUGAGGCCUCUGCCACAGCCAUGGCAACACUGAAUCCGAGCCGAAUCUUGCGGCAACACUAGAUCAUUAACCCACUGAGCAAGACCAGGGAUUGAACCUGCAUCCUCACAGAC
rnacentral:lncRNA from 1 species